rnacentral:sRNA from 1 species
UAUUCUGCCCAUCGGGGAAGGAUGAGAAGCUUCGACCAAGGUUCGACUCGAGCGCCAGCGAGAGAGCGUUGCCGCAGGCAACGACCCGAAGGGCGAAGCGCGCAGCGCUGAGUAAUCCUUCCCCCACCACCA